rnacentral:lncRNA from 1 species
UCAGAAUGCAUUUUGAUUGUGGCUCCUGCUUAUCUUUCUCCAUAUCCCUCUUCUCAGAAAAGAUGAAAAGACAGAAGGAGAAUCCUCUGUGCAGCGCUUGGGAGGGUUCCGAACCAGAUAAUGGACCCAGCGAUGAGAAUGAAUUUCACGGACGCCAGAGGGUUAGAAGAGAGUUAAACCUGAACUGCAGAUGUUUGGAUGUGAGGAAUAUCGUAGUGUCGCCCCAUUUGAUAACUGGGCCACGGUCCUAUGCAGUAGAAGAAGUGGGGGAUGGGAUGGAGAUAGAGGAGAAGCUCACUGCCAAUCUCGUUCCUCUCCCAGUGAAAUCUCCUAGACAGCUCCAGAAUAACCCCUGCUGGGAGAGAUUUAACACGUCCAAUUCCAACUGUGCUCAGACGCAUUCCGAAACGGGCGUCGACGAUCCUCCACCUCAGAAGAAUAGAAAAGUUGCUCAAAGCAAAAAAUAUUCCUCACCGCAAUCUGAACAAACAAACAUCAAACAACAGAGACUGAAGCAGCGACUGCUGCCACUGACCAGGUCCCAUUGGGGCCCAGCCUCUUCAUGUGUUUUGUGUGUAGAGCAGUCUGCAGAGGAACUAGCAGUGCCAUGGCGGUGUAGGGCGAUGGUGGCACAGAACCCUGAACCAUCUCGGCUCCCUUCCAGAAUCCUGCCAAACCUCCAAAACACAAUUAGAGCAUCUGGCUGUGAGAUACUGGAGCUGUGCCGACGUAUGUCCUCUAGGAUGAACUAUGUGAACCAUGUGAGCCCGACCACAUCUGGAACUGGAACAAGACCGGUGGGUUGGAGGUUGCUUGGGAAGCCCGUCGGUGACAGCGGAGCACAGGUGCGGGUCAGUCAACCAGAACACCACUCCUGGAAAGUGAGAAAGUUCUCUGGGGCAUCAGUUGACAGCCACAGUCUCACCAGCCUUCUGCAUAAUAGUGAUUGUGGUUCUGGUGUAUCCAGGGAAAGCCAGACCCAGACACAUCUUCCAGAUACUGGGCUCUCUGGCUGUGCUAAAGACAGCAAAGGAGACAGCCAACAGCAUGGACGGAAGGUCAGCGGAUCCAGGAGGGACCAGAGAGGUGGAGGUGGGGUUGGAAAAGUGAGACAGAUGCCCAGAGAAGAAUCCUUGCGGUGGGGUGAAGGAUCAACAUGGCCUUGGGUGAGUAUUUCCACAGCUCCAUGGUGACUCUCUGUCACUCCACUCAGAGUGUACACAUCCUGACAGACUGGCAGGUCAGCUCAGUACUGCCAGUUAAGUGCUGCCACCAUCAUUUACUAGUUGCAUGUGCAUAACAGAAGCUGCCCAUCUGUCAACCACUCCUGUAUUCUUCACCUCCAAAUAAAAUUGGAACGUAAGUAUCGUUGGAAAAUCUCAAUUCUAAAUUAAGACCACAUUGGUACCUUUUUAAUUUCUCUCGUCUAUGUAAAUGACUGUGAAUGGAAACAUAAUGACAUCCUGCUUUACUGUAAUAAUACUACUAUUCUUCCGGCUUUCUCGUCAAACAUUAAGUAUUAUCAGCAGCACCCUUUACAAAACGUUUCAGUCUCAAUUGAAACAGGUGUUUUCAGCUUGCAACAAAGAUCACAAGGACAUUGUUAUAUUUAGAAUUGCUUCAAGUGAACACGAUUCAAGACCAGAAUAUGAAUGUCUUUCUUUAUGUAGUACGUUCUAAUAGGUUUGUAAUAACUCUAUAGGUUCUUUAGAAACCCCAGGAUCCAUUUGGUCCAAUACAUAAUUAAUUUCCAUGGCAACACAAAGUGGAUCAAACGGCACAUAUGCUUGGAAAGUCUUUGAAGAUUUGAAGUUCACAUAUGGAUGAAUGUUCGCAUAGAGAUUGAAUGGGUGCGAUUUUGUCAAUUGAAGACAUUGUAUUCAGGACGACAGAGACACUUCAAAGUCAUGCAGAGAAGUCCUUCAAACUCAUCAUUCCUCAUUUAGAGUGGAUAUUGUAUGGUGACAGUAAUAGUAAGUCUGAGAGACUGUUUUCUCUUCUCUAUGAAAUGGACUGUAUUUGUCACAUCAUCACAUAUCAUAUAUAUUUUUUCUGGUAUGUUCCUUCGAAUAAGCGCUACUAUAGCACUUUAAGUAUUUCCGACAGAACUAAGUUAACAAACCAAUUCCUUUCCCAUGUGUUUUUUUUAACCAGAGGUGGGAAUGCUGUUGUAAAUCACAGAGAGAAACCCCCUCAGAAGUGGCCUCUGUGCACCUGUAGAUGUCUGUAUGUAUCAUAUGUCUCAGAGUAGGAGUGCUGAUCUAGGAUCAGAUCUCCACGUCUAUGUAGUGUUAUUAAAAGAUGAACUAACAGGCUAAACUGAUCAUAAAUCAGCACUCCUCUGAGACACUUUAUACAUCCCACAUGGGACAGAUAAGACAGAUCAGUGUGCCAGGAGAUUCUAUAGAAUGAAGGAAAGCUGUGUCACAAAUGGCACCCUAUAUCCUAUAUAGUGCACUACUUUUGACCAGAUCCCCUAAGGGUUUUGGUGUCGUUUGGGAGGCAGACAACAGCUUCAGAAAUGCUCUGUUCUACAGCAUGUAUCUCUACUCUGGUGACUGACUGUUAUAAAUGGCUCUCUGCCGCUUGUUCCUUCUUGUGAUGGAUGGUUGUUUGUUUGUUUUCUUGUCUGUCUUCCGUAGGACUCCGAGAGUCAGUCAAGGAACCAGCGGCAGAACGAGUCCCCAACAGACUGUGAUGUCACCCUACUGCACAUUGUGCAUCUUUUACAGUGUAGGUCAGUCAAUCUGUCUCAUGUCAGGGAAGAAGGACAAUUUGGAGAUGAUUUUCAACAUAUCCUUCACAACAGACAAACUUGACUCAAGCAAAUAGCAAGAUAUUUAGUAUUCAGAGUAGGUUAGUGAAUGGACAGGAGGAGCGAGCAAUCUUGAUAUAAUUAUUUUUUAUUCCAAGACUGUAAAUUGAAUUUUGUCUACAGUGUAAAAGGUCAUGAUAAAAAGACAAAGGAAUGAAAUAGAAGUUUGGUAAAACAACUGGGUGACCAGAAUAUCAACAACAUCCAUACAAAAUGAUUCACUAUGCUAAAUAAUGACAAUGUAACAGUCUGACUUCAAACCAGGGAAGAACAAGAAGAAAAACCUGUCAUUUAAAAAAAGAUCAGUAGCUAGGUUGCAUGAAAGUCUUGUCUAUGGACCAAAAGUUUAACAAAAAGGUAUGAAUGUGUAGAUUAGCAAAAAGGUAUGAAUGUGUAGUUUAACAAAAAGGUAUGAAUGUGUAGUUUAACAAAAAGGUAUGAAUGUGUAAUUUAACAAAAAGGUAUGAAUGUUAGGUUAACAAAAGGUAUGAAUGUCUAGUUUAACCAAU